rnacentral:rRNA from 1 species
GAUGUAAUACCGGUAUCCUCCUGUGAGGUUGCCGAGGCCGCAAAAUUGCUGGAGAACAUAUACCGAGCCGUUAAUAUCGCUCUGGUCAAUGAGCUCAAGCUACUCUUCGACAAGAUGGAGAUCGACGUGUGGGAGGUGAUUCAAGCAGCAUCUACAAAGCCUUUCGGCUUCCAGCCAUUCUAUCCGGGCCCGGG